GCUUAGAGAGGGGUCAAUGUCCUAUCAGCCAGUUGGUAAGGUAAUGGCUUACCAAGGCUAAGACGGGUAGCCGGCCUGAGAGGGUGGUCGGCCACACUGGGACUGAGACACUGCCCAGACUCCUACGGGAGGCUGCAGUCGAGAAUCUUUCGCAAUGCCCGAAAGGGUGACGAAGCGACGCCGCGUGUGGGAAGAAGGCCUUCGGGUUGUAAACCACUGUCGGGAGUUAAGAAAUGUAAGGGUGUUAAUAGCAUCCUUACUUGACUAAGGCUCCGGAGGAAGCCACGGCUAACUCUGUGCCAGCAGCCGCGGUAAUACAGAGGCGGCAAGCGUUGUUCGGAAUUAUUGGGCGUAAAGAGCACGUAGGCGGCUUUGUAAGUCAGUUGUGAAAGCCUUCCGCUUAACGGAAGAACAGCAUCUGAUACUGCAAGGCUAGAGUGCGGAAGGG
rnacentral:rRNA from 1 species